ensembl:lncRNA
GACACCUCUUAGGUCUAAAUAUGAGGAUGAGAAAGUCACUGUUUUUGAAGGGGAUAUAGAAAGUUAGUGUUUCUGAAGAGAAUAUAGAAAGUCAUAGGAGGGUCACGAUGUGACUCCGCGACAGAGCAGAGCCUACAUGGUUUUCUGGUUGAUACACACGCUUGGUUUCCAGAAAUGGGGUAGAGUAGGAAGCAAAAUCCUCUAUCUUUUCAGGCAGACCCUUCCUUCUCAUCUCUGAAGACUCUUGUUUUAUGGAGAGGAAUCCUGCAUGUGGGGCACAGAGAAAUCUGGGUCUAGUUUCGUACAUACUGGAGCUUCUUCCUGGGUUCCGGAAUUAGAUUGGCCUUUAGGUUAGUUUUGGCUGCUGGUUUUGGAGUUUUGGAGUUUUAGAGCUUUGGAGUUUUGCUGGUUUUGGAGUUUUGGAGUUUUGGCGUUUCCCAGUGCCAUUAUAGUCUUUGAGUGGGAAGUCAGGAGAGGCUGCCCCGGGUGGGUGAUUACUGGCUCAACAGUAUUUUCAGCGGAGUGCUUGACUUAUUUUUUCUAAAUUAGGAUUUCUCAGGCAGCUACUUGUUUAUCACUAGAUCACUCCUCCUUCCAAAGCCAGCAAUAGUAUUGCUGAGAUGCUCCAUGAUUUCAGCUUUCCUUUUAAUGGGCUUCUGCCGAGGCCAGCCUCUAAAGGGGCCACCCCUUUCUCUUCUCUGUGAACAAUUCAAACCACAUUUGAAAGGAACAUUUAAAAAUAGGGUUAUACAAUGAUUUCCUCAAAUCUGCAGUGCUUGGUGAAGAAGCAUAAAAGAAACCUCUGGUAGUAAAGUGGGAAAUAACGCCUCUGAGUGAAGACGGAAAAAGAGGUCCUGAUUAUUAGGUGAAUUUGUAGCUGUCCCUCAGACCUUCUCUGGAUGACGCAACACAACCAACUCUGAUGUCAACCCUGAGAAUUUUGCUGAAUGUUCCAGUCAUUCUUUACCACUGCAGUCUGAAGACCGGGAGUCUGCUGGAGUCUCUUGAAAUUAUUCUGCUGGUUGUGGGGAUCAGAGUGUCAGCUGGGGAACCUAGGUGUACUACUACUGUGGUGGGGAGAUCUGUGCUUGGCCCAGGCUUUUUGGGGGCCUCUGUGGAAUCCCCUCAUGGCCAUGGGCCCUGAUGGAGAGAAAGACAGCUAGGAUGGGUAGGACUCCUGGGCUGCACAGGGACAAACUGCCUCUUGAGGAGAGCAGGACAGACCCCUCUGGAUUUGCUCACUCUCAAUAUCAAAGCAGGCCCAGAGACUUCAUUUACUUUUUAUUGCUCUGGCUGUUCUCUUCAUACAGCUUGACACAAAAGGCACCUCCUCAGCAAGUAGGAGGUGGCACAGUGUACUAAUAAUCCAGAACCUGGUCCUAGUUCGUCUGGAAGAUCUGCCAUUUAUAUGCUGGCUGACAGUUACUUAGCUUCUCUGAGCCUUGGCUUCCCCAUCUAUAAAAUCAAUUAUUCAGGGUAUCUAUUAUUGCUGCUUGGGAAAUGACCACACAAAUCUCAGUGGCAGCCAACAAUAAUUUCUCACUUACGUACUGCUAGUCAACUAGGGGAGGGCCUUUCUAGAUUGCUGAAGAGUGAGCCUCCGAC